GUAGGUGGCAAGCGUUGUCCGGAAUUAUUGGGCGUAAAGCGCGCGCAGGCGGUCCUUUAAGUCUGAUGUGAAAGCCCACGGGCUCAACCGUGGAGGGUCAUUGGAAACUGGGGGACUUGAGUACAGAAGAGGAAAGCGGAAUUCCAAGUGUAGCGGUGAAAUGCGUAGAGACUUGGAGGAACACCAGUGGCGAAGGCGGCUUUCUGGUCUGUAACUGACGCUGAGGCGCGAAAGCGUGGGGAGCAAACAGGAUUAGAUACCCUGGUAGUCCACGCCGUAAACGAUGAGUGCUAAGUGUUAGGGGGUUUCCGCCCCUUAGUGCUGCAGCUAACGCAUUAAGCACUCCGCCUGGGGAGUACGGCCGCAAAGGCUGA
rnacentral:rRNA from 1 species